CGGGCAUGUGCUCAAGCCGCCGCGGAACCCCGCGACCCCCGCUGCGGCCCGCAGUCCUAGAGGGUCCCUGCCCGCCUGAGUACCCUCUCUGAGCUCAAGGCCGUGGCCUGGGACAGAGCCUCCCUCACCAGGUAUCGGAUCCCAUCCCGGGCCCCUGGGUGUUCCUUCUUCAGCAAAUCCAGGCCAUCGAUCACUGGUGA